rnacentral:misc_RNA from 1 species
GUGGGAGGGGGCUUGCUCCCGAUGACGGUGGGUCAGUCACAGGAUGGGUUCACUGACACUCCGCUAUCGGGAGCAAGCCCCCUCCCGC